ACAUGAAAGUAUAGGAUCAUGUCAAGGUGGGGGAAAGCAUGGAAGGCUAAUGGAAAGGAUAUGAGGAAGCAUGUACGAAACAGGCACUUGAGGUUGCACGGAAUUAUCAUUAUUAUGGAGUCUAAGCGGUUGAAGAUCGAGUCAAUGAAUGUGGAUUGUACGGGAGCGAGGUCGUAUAGUUUAUAAAUGUAAAUUAUGCUUUAUCUUUUAAGUAAGAAUGAUGGACGCAAUUUUUGUAAAAGGGAUUAUCCCAAAUGUUUCCAGUAUGUUAAAAUGUUUAUAAAGAAAGAUUUUUUUUCGUUUCGUA